rnacentral:rRNA from 1 species
UACGUAGGGGGCAAGCGUUGUCCGGAUUUAUUGGGCGUAAAGCGUGCGUAGGCGGUUUUGUAAGCCAGGUGUGAAAUCCCCGGGCUCAACCUGGGAAUGGCAUUUGGGACUGCAAGGCUGGAGUGCGGCAGAGGAGACUGGAAUUCCUGGUGUAGCAGUGAAAUGCGUAGAUAUCAGGAGGAAUACCGAUGGCGAAGGCAGGUCUCUGGGCUGACACUGACGCUCAUGCACGAAAGCGUGGGGAGCAAACAGG